rnacentral:rRNA from 1 species
CAAGUCGAACGGCAGCACGGGGGCAACCCUGGUGGCGAGUGGCGAACGGGUGAGUAAUACAUCGGAACGUGUCCUGUAGUGGGGGAUAGCCCGGCGAAAGCCGGAUUAAUACCGCAUACGCUCUACGGAGGAAAGGGGGGGAUCUUAGGACCUCCCGCUACAGGGGCGGCCGAUGGCAGAUUAGCUAGUUGGUGGGGUAAAGGCCUACCAAGGCGACGAUCUGUAGCUGGUCUGAGAGGACGACCAGCCACACUGGGACUGAGACACGGCCCAGACUCCUACGGGAGGCAGCAGUGGGGAAUUUUGGACAAUGGGCGAAAGCCUGAUCCAGCAAUGCCGCGUGUGUGAAGAAGGCCUUCGGGUUGUAAAGCACUUUUGUCCGGAAAGAAAACCUCGUGGUUAAUACCCGUGGGGGAUGACGGUACCGGAAGAAUAAGCACCGGCUAACUACGUGCCAGCAGCCGCGGU